GAAAAAAAUUUUUUUUUAAUGGGCCCCCUUUUUUAAAAUUUUUUUUGGGGGAAAAAGGGGGGGGAAAAAAAAGGGGGGGAAAAAAUUUUUUCCCCCCCCUUUUUCCCUUUCCCAAAAAA